GAGGUAUGUAUGCUGAUGAUUCAUGUAUGGACUUGCUAUGGUUAUCUUUACUUUUAAAUGCUUCAAUGGAUUUCCUCAGAGGUGCCAUUUUAUUGGUUUUUUCUUUUUCCUUUUCUUUUUGCAGUUGUUUUCAUUGGACCUUUACAACGUUUAGCUUUUAUGAAUGCUGUUUCCUAUAUCUUUCCGUCUGCCUUUAAAGGCAUGGGAGAUUGGUGAAGAUGGGAGUAUUCAAAACCAUUGAGAGGCUUACUGGUGGGAAGUGAUGCCUUCUCCUAAAGCUCAUGGGAAGUGAAGACACAAAGCAGUCUUGCCUACACAGAUGAAAUGACUCCAGACCACAUGGUUCCGAUUCUCUAGUUGGGAUUCAGGUAAAAAUCAUGGAUCAGUUUCAGUCUGUUGUGCAAAGAAAAGGCUGGCAUCUGCUUCAGAUUGUAUAUUACAACCUGAGCAAUCUUGGAGGUGGUGCAUCGCGUAGGCAAUGUGAACUUGUGAUCAGCGAUGAUGGUGAAAUGGACCCUUUGUUUGUCAAAUA